GGGAAUCUUGCGCAAUGGGCGAAAGCCUGACGCAGCCAUGCCGCGUGGAUGAUGAGGGUCUUAGGAUUGUAAAAUCCUUUCAGCGGGGACGAUAAUGACGGUACCCGCAGAAGAAGCCCCGGCUAACUUCGUGCCAGCAGCCGCGGUAAUACGAAGGGGGCUAGCGUUGCUCGGAAUUACUGGGCGUAAAGGGCGCGUAGGCGGACAGUUAAGUCGGGGGUGAAAGCCCGGGGCUCAACCUCGGAAUUGCCUUCGAUACUGGCUGUCUUGAGUGUGAGAGAGGUGUGUGGAACUCCGAGUGUAGAGGUGAAAUUCGUAGAUAUUCGGAAGAACACCAGUGGCGAAGGCGACACACUGGCUCACUACUGACGCUGAGGCGCGAAAGCGUGGGGAGCAAAC
rnacentral:rRNA from 1 species